AACCUUAAAAAUAAAAAUAGAAAAGCAAAUAUGCGAGUUAUCUUCUGCUGAGCAAGGAAAAUGAAGUUAGAAAACAUGAAGCACUAAAACACUAAUCUAUCUCUCCGUACGAAGGGAUAAUAUAUGCUCCUUGUUUGCUAAGAUGUAUUGCAGAACACGUUUACAACACUACAUAGUGGGGGCCUUCUUUAUAUGCUCCAUGUGAUAAGCACAUGGCAGUAGUUUGUGCCAUAUGUCCAAUAAAAUCAUAUGAUAUUAAUUUAUACCAAAGAACUAAAAAAUAAAACAACAAAUCUCGUGCUAUGGAGUAAAUGAAUAAUGAUGUAAGAUGCGAAGACUCUAGCAAAAAAACAUGACUAGAGUCAAAUUUACCUAUAACCGACAACAACAACAAUACACUAUGGCCAAAGGCCUAUUCAAACGUACAUUUAUUAGAUAACAUAUGUAGUCUAUAGUAACCAUGAUCAGACUCGUAGAGAUAGUUUGCAGCUGAAAUCAUCACAUCACAAACAAGGAUUACAAAACACGACAAAACUUACAUACAGUUCUUAUAGUGUUUUUGGUGUCAUUUUUCUAUCAAAAUCAGAGUUUUACCUCGAUAAUCUGGGUGCCACCAAGGUAAAACUCCAAUUUUGAUUAGAAAGCAACACCAACAUCUAAGAAACUGCAUCUAAAUUUUGUUGUACAAGAAAAGAACUAGAAGAGAGUACGGUACACAUAAAAGGGGUGUUGCCAUUCUGAGAGGUCCCUCAAGAGCCCAAAUCACAGUGUGUGAAGUGAGGUGGAGGAGUUGAAAAAUGCCAAAGGAUUGAAGUUGCCCUUUCCAAGAGAAACCGCCCUCAAGAAGGAGCGUUUUAGCAUAGCCUUGAAAGAAAAGGAGCAUGGAAAGAUAAGGAGGAUACCAUUAUAGCCACACCAAAACACACCAUCCACAACAUGUCCACCACCCCCACAUGCCAAAUUGGUUAAGGAAGUUUGGUGGCAUGGGGCAAGGGGGGGGUGGCUAAUGAGAAAGCUUUCAAAAGGGGUGUUACAUAUUUGGGAUGAUGGGGUGGUGCAGUUAAGAGAGGGUUUGGAGUUGUAGCUAGGAUUGGGUGUUAUAGGAUUUUGCUCCUUCUUUGGUCAUAAUAGCAAUAAAGGAGUGAGAUGACUUAAGUACCUUGUGUGGUGUUGGGGGGUGACUUUUUGUUAAAGGGACUAUAAAUUAAAGUAAUAAAGAGUGAAAUGGAGGUUCCUAAUAUAGCAUCUUCCAAAGCAUAUGCCCUUGCACACCCUCCUUUGUUCCACAUAUGACAAGCACCUUUCGAUUUUCCCCCUCACGUGUCUUCUUUUUUGCUACCCUUGGGAUUUAUUAUAGCCGUGAUCAAAAUUCUCCAUCUAAAUGUGGCUUGAAAAAGAGUGAUAUCUCCUCACUGCUCACUCAAUUUCAGAAGGGGAAGUAGCAAAUGUGGUUUUUGUUAUUAGGAGGUCUUUGAAUUGAAGCAGCAGGAGAACUAUGGGCUAACAAAAUCGACCCACUAUUUUUAUAUCAUGCUUCUGAUUGGAUCACCACUCACUGGAUAUUUGGUUUUGAAAUCUUCAAUUUCUGACUACAAAAUGCAAAUACAGUUUCCAGAGAAAUGACUUCAUUCUUGGAGGGCUGGAUGGGUUGGCUGAUUCAUCUAGAAAUACACACACAGUAAGAUGGCUUAUUUCAUUUCAUUAUUUUAUUUCUUUUUUCUAUUGUUUUGUGUUAAUUUUUCAUUUGCUUAAUGGAAGUGAAAGCCCAAAAGAAAAGUGACUUUCACAUUUACUAUUAUUUAUUUUGUUAAUUGCUGUUUAAUAAAUAUUAAUUUGUGGUAGACAAUUUUAUGGAGGACAGUGAGACUUUUGAAAGGUUGAUUAUUUUUACCAUGUAUCUGAAUACAAAUGUGCAAAAUAGCUUGUAAAAGUCACACAUUUCCCCCUUUUAAAAUCUUAAUAUGUUUGAUAUUUUUUUUUUCAUUUUUAUCAUAAUUUAAUAUGCUUCCUAUAUAUAACUUCGCACUUUCCCCCUUUCCCUAACUAAAAAUAGAAAAAACAACUACUUUUCUUACUGAAGAGAAAAACAACUAUUGAUAUGUUUAUAUAGGGAUUUUGGACCUUUACACGAGAUUUUUUUUAUUAUGUUUAGUUACUUUUUUAAACCAUGAUUUUGUUAUGAAAUAUGAACGUAUUCAUAAGCCUCAAUUAAUUAAUUUAAUUAGUAGCAUUAAAUUUUUUUAAAAUUAUUUUAUUUUUUCAAAUUUAUUCCUAAUAUUAAUGAGACACACUUUUACUUUUUUCAAAUAUUACUAAUAGUUUUAUUUUUUUUUUCGUUGGUGAUCACACGUGUCUUUUAAUCUAUUGUAUGUGACUGUUGUUGGUUUAAUGAAAUUUUAGAUAUGAACAAAAUCAAACACAGAUUAUUGUGCUAAUUUGCUAAAUAAUUUCCUUUAAAUUAGAUUGUUAACAAAAAUUUGUUUCACAAAAAUUGUUGUUGAUCAAAAUGUUCAUUUAUUCGAUUUCUUAAAUAAGAUCUCAAAAUCAAAAGAAAAAUUCUAAAAAAAUAAUCAACCACUAAAUUAGACGUAUGUAAAAUUAGGAGAUAGUUUACCAAUGCUAUGGUAAAAAUAAACACACACCAACCAUUGUAAAUUUGUUUGGCAUGCGAUGAGUAAGGUGUAGUUAAGCUGAGAGACAUAUGCUAGGGCCGUGUGCCUCUGAAUAUUUUACCAUUAAUUUGGGCAGAUAUAUUUCGCUUUAAGCCGUUCCGAGUCAGACUUUUAGCUAUUCUUAUUGUCAUAGAUUUCACAUUCUUAGUGACAACAGCAUUAUCAUCAUUAUUAUUUGCGUUGCCCUCUUUUAGUUCAAAAGUUUGAUAGUUUAUUUACUUGCGUAAUGUUUCCCUUCGCUAGAGAAUUUGGUCUUUUGAAGAGCAUUUUGAGACCAGUCUUUUUAUGUAAUUAAUUUGGGGGUUAAAAUAGAUAUCCUCACGGCAAGUUUUAGAAGAUGAAAAACAUCUUUUGAAGAAAGUUUAUCAGUGUAAGGGUGUAUUGAUUCAUAAAUUUUAGUGAUCACAAUUAUUUUACAUCAAAUUAAUAUUUAAUACUUUUAUGAAAAAUACUAAAAGUGUCCUUAUAAUACAGAAGAAUCAAGAGUAAAAAGCUUUUAAGAAAAAAAAUAUUGUCAAUGCAUCUCAUCGAUUGGAAUUUCUAAUAUAUAUAUACUGACACCUUACAAGUUUUACAUAAUUAUUUAAUCAUAAUUUAUAAUAUAUAAUAAAUUUAUUAAUUUUUAAAAUAAUAAUCUUAAAAUAAUUCAAACCAUUAUCUGACCUCUUAAUACAUAGAAUUUUAACUUAACAAAAAAUAUUUAUAAUUUUUUAACUAUGGCGCUCGGUAACGCAUCCUUAUCUUUGUUUAUGCACUUUAGAGACAUCUAUGGUAAUUUAGAAUAACUUUUUAUUAAUCAUAAAUCAGUACCUGAUCUGCAACAAACGAAUAACAGUAUAACACCCAUAGAGCAUUAAGCUAGUCUCAUUUUUUGUUUCCCAACUAUUGCCUUUUUUACCUUCAUUUUGUUGGUUCCAUUCAUCGAGGUAAAGAAAGGGUAGAAGAAAAAGAUGUUUUGAACAAUGAUGGAAUUUUUCGUAAAUCAAAAACAGUUUUUUCAAAAAGAAACACAAUAGUAGGAAUUGGGAAAAAGCAUAUGCGCCGGUUAGCAUCAGUGGAUGCGUUGAACAACCAAAAGAGAAGAAUAUUAUUUGAUGCCAAAGUGAAACAGAAUGAUUCUUCUAUCUGAAUUGCUGUUGGAUUUUUCUUUUUCUAGUUUUGGGAUCCGAUUGAUAGGAAAAGUAGUUUGAAAGCAUAGAAUAUCUUGGAAAUGAGGGCCUAGACAUCCCACCAAUGUAGUCAGUGGGAGACAUCAUGGACAAAAUAUAAGGUUUCUAUUGUUGUUUGCUAUGCAGAAUAAAAAUGUAACAAUGACAAGUGAAUGCCGCAGAAAAUAUUUCUUCUGUAAUGUUUUGAUUGAAAUAAGUUUGACAAUUAUUUGAUUUUGACUUGUUAGUCAAAUAAAUUAAUUAGGUACAUUAAGCGUUACGGAGGAAACCAACAAGUUCAAAUGGUGUAUAAGACUUGGUCAGUGACAGCGUUAUUCAGUAAUCACCAACAAUGUUAGGAAGUUGUAAUUUAUGGUUCAGCUUGGUUAUGCCUCCUUUUGAUCAGUAUUUCCCUCUUUGCAACUGCCUAGGUUUCAGAUGAUUGCUUGGGUUAACUCUUAUUUUUGUAUUAUUUGUUUCUCUUCCAAAGAUGCUAAUGAAAAUUUAUCUAUCUUUGGCGACAAUUAUGUGUUUUUUAUUUCAUGCGUAUAGUUUACAAUCGUAUCAGGUGCUUUUAAAGUGGGUCGGGGCAAUGCAGACAUAUACGAGGUAUUUCUAAAUUCUAAUUGCAUGCUCUCCGUUACUAGUGGGACGGUCAGUUGGUCACGUGGCACUAUGGAAGUAACAUUUUUUAUUUUGUGUGUUCCUUUUCUCUAGAUUUAGUUAAUUGUUU
rnacentral:lncRNA from 1 species